UACGAAGGGGGCUAGCGUUGCUCGGAAUCACUGGGCGUAAAGCGCACGUAGGCGGCUCUUUAAGUCAGGGGUGAAAUCCUGGAGCUCAACUCCAGAACUGCCCUUGAUACUGAGGAGCUUGAGUCCGGGAGAGGUGAGUGGAACUGCGAGUGUAGAGGUGAAAUUCGUAGAUAUUCGCAAGAACACCGGUGGCGAAGGCGGCCCACUGGAUCGGUACUGACGCUGAGGUGCGAAAGCGUGGGGAGCAAACAGG
rnacentral:rRNA from 1 species